CAAGGAAUGGGGACAAAACCUGAAAAGUGGGUCUUAAAAGUGGAAGGAUCUACCUUGAAAGCCAGAAGCAUGGAUAACUACAACCAUUCUAAAUAAAAUGGAAUUUUCCUUUCUGUGACUCCCUGUGGAUCUUCACAGCUAAAAUAAAGAGACAAAAUAUAUUUCUAGAGCAUCCCACAGUCCAGUGGUUCUUGCAUGGGGUGGGAGCCACCUCCAGGGGGGCAUUUGGAAAGGUAUGAAGACUAUAGUUUUCAUUCUGACUGAAUCCCCUUCUCUUUGUUCCAAACCAUGAUAGGAAGAAUUAUACCAUUCCAAAAUUCAACAGCAUGACCAUUGAGAAAUAGCACCAACCCUUCCCUCAAGAGGGAACCCAGGAAUCUUAAGAUCCUCCAUCAUUUGGGGAUGUGAGUGGGCUUAGGUGUCUGAAUUUGGCUGUAAACAUUCUGUUCCUUAGGUGUAUUGAAUUACACAUGGGGCUGGUAUCUUAGUCUGUUCAGGCUGCUAUAACACAAUAACAUAAACUGGGUAGCUUAUAAACAACGUAAUUUUUCCCCUACAGUUCUGGGAAGACUGGAAAGUCCAAGAUCAAGGCUCCAGCAGAUUAAGCAUCUGGUGAGGGCUCAUUUCCUGGCUCACACACAGUGCCUUCUCACUGUGUCCUCACAUGGUUGAAAAAGAAACGCAACUCUGUGGGGCCCCUUAUAAUCCCAUUCAUGAGGGCUCUGAAGUCAUGAUGUGACCACCCUCAAAGGUCACACCUCCUAAUGCCAUCAUAUUGGUGAUUAGGUUUUCAAUAUACCAUUUUUUUGGGGGGGUGGAAACACAUUCAGCCUGUGGCAGGUAGCUGCAAUGCUUGAGGUAUAAUGGGUUAUAAAAUUACAUUAUUUUUGAG
rnacentral:lncRNA from 1 species